rnacentral:rRNA from 1 species
CCUACGGGUGGCAGCAGUGAGGAGUAUUGGUCAAUGGCCGGAAGGCUGAACCAGCCAAGCCGCGUGAAGGACGAAGGUGCCAAGCAUUGUAAACUUCUUUUGUCAAGGGACAAAAUCAGGCUCGAGAGCCUGACCGAGGGUACUUGAAGAAAAAGCAUCGGCCAACUCCGUGCCAGCAGCCGCGGUAAUACGGAGGAUGCGAGCGUUAUCCGGAUUUAUUGGGUUUAAAGGGUGCGUAGGCGGACUGUUAAGUCCGCGGUAAAAGCCCGGGGCUCAACCCCGGCGAGCCGUUGAAACUGGCUGUCUUGAGAUGUCGAGAGGUAGGCGGAAUUCCGUGUGUAGCGGUGAAAUGCGUAGAUAUACGGAGGAACACCAGUGGCGAAGGCGGCCUGCUGGACAUUAACUGACGCUGAGGCGCGAAAGCGUGGGGAGCAAACAGGAGUAGAUACCCCAGUAGUC